rnacentral:rRNA from 2 species
ACACGAAAUCGUACCCCAAACCGACACAGGUGGUCAGGUAGAGAAUACCAAGGCGCUUGAGAGAACUCGGGUGAAGGAACUAGGCAAAAUGGUGCCGUAACUUCGGGAGAAGGCACGCUGACACGUAGGUGAAGUGAUUUACUCAUGGAGCUGAAGUCAGUCGAAGAUACCAGCUGGCUGCAACUGUUUAUUAAAAACACAGCACUGUGCAAACACGAAAGUGGACGUAUACGGUGUGACGCCUGCCCGGUGCCGGAAGGUUAAUUGAUGGGGUCAGCGUAAGCGAAGCUCCUGAUCGAAGCCCCGGUAAACGGCGGCCGUAACUAUAACGGUCCUAAGGUAGCGAAAUUCCUUGUCGGGUAAGUUCCGACCUGCACGAAUGGCGUAAUGAUGGCCAGGCUGUCUCCACCCGAGACUCAGUGAAAUUGAACUCGCUGUGAAGAUGCAGUGUACCCGCGGCAAGACGGAAAGACCCCGUGAACCUUUACUAUAGCUUGACACUGAACAUUGAGCCUUGAUGUGUAGGAUAGGUGGGAGGCUUUGAAGUGUGGACGCCAGUCUGCAUGGAGCCGACCUUGAAAUACCACCCUUUAAUGUUUGAUGUUCUAACGUGGACCCGUAAUCCGGGUUGCGGACAGUGUCUGGUGGGUAGUUUGACUGGGGCGGUCUCCUCCUAAAGAGUAACGGAGGAGCACGAAGGUUGGCUAAUCCUGGUCGGACAUCAGGAGGUUAGUGCAAUGGCAUAAGCCAGCUUGACUGCGAGCGUGACGGCGCGAGCAGGUGCGAAAGCAGGUCAUAGUGAUCCGGUGGUUCUGAAUGGAAGGGCCAUCGCUCAACGGAUAAAAGGUACUCCGGGGAUAACAGGCUGAUACCGCCCAAGAGUUCAUAUCGACGGCGGUGUUUGGCACCUCGAUGUCGGCUCAUCACAUCCUGGGGCUGAAGUAGGUCCCAAGGGUAUGGCUGUUCGCCAUUUAAAGUGGUACGCGAGCUGGGUUUAGAACGUCGUGAGACAGUUCGGUCCCUAUCUGCCGUGGGCGCUGGAGAACUGAGGGGGGCUGCUCCUAGUACGAGAGGACCGGAGUGGACGCAUCACUGGUGUUCGGGUUGUCAUGCCAAUGGCACUGCCCGGUAGCUAAAUGCGGAAGAGAUAAGUGCUGAAAGCAUCUAAGCACGAAACUUGCCCCGAGAUGAGUUCUCCCUGAGACUUAGAGUCUCCUGAAGGAACGUUGAAGACGACGACGUUGAUAGGCCGGGUGUGUAAGCGCAGCGAUGCGUUGAGCUAACCGGUACUAAUGAACCGUGAGGCUUAACCUUACA